AACGAACGCUGGCGGCAGGCCUAACACAUGCAAGUCGAGCGCUCACCUUCGGGUGGGAGCGGCGCACGGGUGAGUAACACGUGGGAACCUACCUUGAAGUACGGAAUAACUGAGGGAAACUUCAGCUAAUACCGUAUACGCCCUACGGGGGAAAGAUUUAUCGCUUCAAGACGGGCCCGCGUUGGAUUAGCUAGUUGGUGAAGUAAUGGCUCACCAAGGCAACGAUCCAUAGCUGAUUUGAGAGAAUGAUCAGCCACACUGGGACUGAGACACGGCCCAGACUCCUACGGGAGGCAGCAGUGGGGAAUAUUGGACAAUGGGCGCAAGCCUGAUCCAGCCAUGCCGCGUGAGUGAUGAAGGCCUUCGGGUUGUAAAGCUCUUUCAGAUGGGACGAUGAUGACGGUACCAUCAGAAGAAGCCCCGGCUAACUUCGUGCCAGCCGCCGCCGUAAGAC
rnacentral:rRNA from 1 species